rnacentral:rRNA from 1 species
CGCCAGACUCCUACGGGAGGCAGCAGUGAGGAAUAUUGGUCAAUGGCCGUAAGGCUGAACCAGCCAAGUCGCGUGAGGGAAGACGGCCCUACGGGUUGUAAACCUCUUUUGUCAGGGAGCAAGGGGCAGGUCGUGACCUGCUGUGAGAGUACCUGAAGAAAAAGCAUCGGCUAACUCCGUGCCAGCAGCCGCGGUAAUACGGAGGAUGCGAGCGUUAUCCGGAUUUAUUGGGUUUAAAGGGUGCGUAGGCGGAAUGCCAAGUCAGGGGUAAAAUCGCGGGGCUCAACCUCGCUCCGCCGUUGAAACUGGCGUUCUUGAGUGGGCGAGAAGUAUGCGGAAUGCGUGGUGUAGCGGUGAAAUGCAUAGAUAUCACGCAGAACUCCGAUUGCGAAGGCAGCAUACCGGCGCCCAACUGACGCUGAAGCACGAAAGCGUGGGUAUCGAACAGGAUUAGAUACCCCAGUAU